rnacentral:rRNA from 1 species
AUACAGAGGGUGCAAGCGUUAAUCGGAAUUACUGGGCGUAAAGCGUACGUAGGCGGCAAGUUAAGUUAGAUGUGAAAGCCCCGGGCUCAACCUGGGAACUGCAUUUAAAACUGGCUUGCUAGAGUUGAGUAGAGGGGAGUGGAAUUUCAGGUGUAGCGGUGAAAUGCGUAGAGAUCUGAAGGAACACCAGUGGCGAAGGCGACUCCCUGGACUCGAACUGACGCUGAGGUACGAAAGCGUGGGUAGCAAACGGGAUUAGAAACCCUAGUAGUCC